UUUAUAUGUUUGGGGUUCUGAGCGUAAAAAAUUUCCGCCACUUGUAAGACGAAACCUCAUCCCGCUUCAUACAGGAAGCCGCUUCAACCACAAAACCCUUACGACUUCAAACUUGUUCAAAAUUUGAAAUCUAUCAUCAAUCUCUCUAUCGACUCAUGAUCCCAUCCCUCUCUCAAUUUCCUCUCAAUCAUAAUCGCUGAUCAAACGAGAAAAAACGAUUCAACGCAUUCCAAAUCCUUGAACCCCUCUCUCAAUUAUAGAUCCAUGACUCAAUCUCCGCGAUCCAAUCCCUCUUAUAAUCAGAAUCUUUAAUCAAUUCCACUCUCAAUUCAGAAUCACCCUCAAUUUCUCUCUUGAUUCAAAAUCACUCUCAAUUCCUCUUUGGAUUCAAGCUCUUGAUUUGUCUGCUCAGAAGCCAUAUCCCCUAUCUGUUGCAGCAGAGGUGGUGGGACAAUGUUCUUGGUGUACCCUUACUCUCGACGUGUUGUCAUGAAGUCGGUGUUGCUAUAGACACUCAUAUGUUAGUGGGAUCGGUUCCAUGCAAGGUUGUAAUAUGUACUACACUAAGUCUCUAGCACAGGUGGAAUUUCAAGUAGGAAUCUAACUACCAGUGCAAAUCAAUAUGUGUGAUUCAAGAAGAAAUAUGAUAUGGAUGGACCUUGAUGCUAUAACUUAAGCCAAAAUGAUCAAUACAAGUAACUCAUCGAUGUUGAAAUAUUUUGGUGGAUUUGUUUCACCUUAGACACAACCACGAGAAGAACCGUUAAAACUAGUCCCCAUUAUUGUACCUCUGGUAACCAAAUAGUGUGGUAACUGUUUUCUUUCAUAGAAAUGGAUAUUACUUGAAAAAGUGCAGCGUUAAAUGCAUCUCCAAGUAAAUAGGAUAGGGGAUUAUGCUAAGUAUUGGAUAAAAUUAAAGAACAUCAUAGUUUAUUUGUGUAAAUCACUAGUUAAACACAAUUGGCGGCAUUUAUAUAUUGAUCAGUUAUUUUAUACAUAACUUGUAUGACGUCCAAUGUUUUUAUGUUAGAGUUAAAAGGUAGUGCACUGACAGUGUAAAACUAUUUUACACUGUCAUCCAAUAAGGAGUCAUGAA